rnacentral:lncRNA from 1 species
GCGUGCCGGUCACGUGGGGCAUGGUGGCUGAGUUCCCCCGUAAUAGUAGCCCCCCACUUCCGAGCCUGGAGCCAGAAGGGGAACGGGUGAAGGAAGUGAUGCUUCGAGAUUGUCGCCAUCCCCCGGAGAGGCGCGCGCGCUUCGAGCUCCCCGCCUUCUUUAUGGCGUAUGGCGGUUGUUGCUGACCUGGCAGUCUGAGGAUUUCGGCGGACAUCCUUCCUUAAUGGCGUCGAUUCGCCUUUGGGGCGCGAGCGAUCCUUCGGCAGCCAGGCGUCCUCUGGCGUCACCGAGGCGUCACCCACCUUUCCGCCUAUUUAACCGGGGGUCCUCCUCCGUCCGCCUUUCUCUUUACAGACAUCUUCGAGUUUCUCCUUGGCGCUGCCGUCAUCGCCGUCGGACUGUUCGCUUGCUCCUCCUUUGACGCUCUCGGAGCCGUUCUUCCUUCUCUUCCGGUGAGUUGCUCCAUUCUUUAAUUUAGGGCUCUCCAUACUCUCCUUUUGUAUUAGUGUACUCCAGUCGUUCCGGUCUUUUCCCCCUUCUCGACCCUGUCCUGACCGUAGA